GCGACGCCCCCGGUGGCAUAGUAACAGACUUGUAUUAGAAGAAGCGUCAUUAAACUGCACUGAAUUUCCCCGUUCCGGCGAGAGGAAAGAGUCCACCGAGGCUAACCCUACUGGCCCAAACUUUUAACUUCGAGGGCGGUGGUGGAGCAAGGGCUCUGGGUGGGAGGACCGAGGCGAGCCUCGGGGCGGGGCGGAGACUCCUGGUGGGCGGGGCAAACUGCGGGGCGGGGCCUGCCUGGGACGCUUCACCUAAGAGUGAACAGCGUGUACGUGUUCUGCAUUUUGUCUCUGUGAGCGUGCACACACUCAUGAGUCCGUUUUGCCGGGCGGCAGGGUGUGCUGUCUCUGGUACCUUUGGCUCUGGUCUGUGGUAUUUUGUUAUGGCAGGUUGAGCUGCCAAAGCCAGAUGGCUUCCCCGAGGAGGUGAUGCUGAACAGCUGUUGUGCUGGGCGGCUUGCUGCUUCAUGCCCUGGAGAAGAUAAGUGGUUUGCCCAUCACACACAGCCAAGAUGAACUCAUCUGGAGUCUCUCUCAUCCUAGCCUCCUCCUGAAGGACCUCGGGGUUCACUUUUACACAUGAACUUAGUGGAGAACCUUUCAGCCACAGAAGUACUUUGAUUAAAUAAAAUUAGAUAAUAAUAAAAUCAUUAUUUUAUUAUUUAUUGUGAAAUAGGGCACAUAAAAGCUGAAUAAAGGAAAUGUGGAAUGAAAGACAAGUGGGCCUUCCCAAGACCAGUUCAUACCCAUCACCACCAGGGGGCAGUGUACAGCAGAACAAGAAGAGGGCUUUUCCAUUAUGUUCUUAUUACCUGCUCAAAGAUGUGGUAACUGGAGUAUGCCACACCUUCUGAUCCCCUCAAAUGCCACCCCUCCUCCACAAGACCCACUUUGGCAUACGGACUAUUUUGAGCUGAAGGCAAUUUAGUAGAAGCAGGCAAAAGGAAAGCCAGUAACCUACCUAUGCAGCCUGGGAGGUACUGAGGGAUCAAACUCCACUCGCCAGCCCCUCCCACCACUAGGUCUCUGGUGUGCACCUGCCCAUGUUUCCUGCCCUGGGACGGAGCUUUGGUCCAAUGUGCCAUCACUUUCCUAGGAUGUGAAGGCUCAACUUCUCCGUUAGUCGCCCUCCCGACAGUGCCUCUGGGCACUACACGGCACGUGGGGUGUGCUUUUGUCUGCUUUUCCCGUAACCUCUUGGCCAGACACUGACGUGGGUGGAGGGAAAGCGCCUCUCCUACAAUGCAGAGGUGUGCAGCCAGUGUUAUCAGUGAAGUUCACGCCUGCCCUUAAGUUAGAUUUUUUUUUCUGUGCUGUGCGAAGAACCCAGGGCCUCCCACAUAUGUGCUCCAUGGCUGAGCUAAAGCUCCAGCGUGCUUAAAUGUGAACAACAGGAAACGGCUUUUGAGUGUUUUGUUAUUUACUUCUGCAUUUUACUUCACACUGCCUAGCUCUUUUUAUAAACUUAAUUAUCUUGUUGCUAAGUGCAUGUCUAUGCUAAAUUGAUUGGUUCAAAAGUUGUCACCAUGGUAACGGAGCAAUACCUGGCACAUUCGAGCCUGGGAAGGCACGUUCUCAGUGCUGCAUGGCUGUGGCUGAAGACUCACAGUUUUCAAAACUACUUCGGAUUAUCACUAACCCGCCAUUUUAAUCCAUUACUUCAGUGUAUUCCACAUUUAUGCUUAAGAGUCUGGCCAGAUCCUAAGACACAGUGCUGAGAUAAACAGAUUAAAUGGGUGUUAAUAUCAUUUGAUUUACUUUUAACUUUUUAAUGAUUUUUUGUUCUCAUUCUGGGGCUAGAACUGAGGACUUUGAAGUCUGUGUGCUAAGCACACACUAAAUCUGACAUAGACCCCCCCCC